UAAGGAAUAUUGGUCAAUGGAGGCAACUCUGAACCAGCCAUGCCGCGUGAAGGAUGAAGGCCCUCUGGGUUGUAAACUUCUUUUAUAGGGGAAGAAAUCCAAGAAUUCUUUUUUGGUUGACGGUACCUUAGGAAUAAGCACCGGCUAACUCCGUGCCAGCAGCCGCGGUAAUACGGAGGGUGCAAGCGUUAUCCGGAUUCACUGGGUUUAAAGGGUGCGUAGGUGGGCUUGUAAGUCAGUGGUGAAAUCUCCGGGCUUAACCCGGAAACUGCCAUUGAUACUAUAGGUCUUGAAUUAUCUGGAGGUCAGCGGAAUAUGUCAUGUAGCGGUGAAAUGCUUAGAUAUGACAUAGAACACCAAUUGCGAAGGCAGCUGGCUACAGGUUGAUUGACACUGAGGCACGAAAGCGUGGGGAUCAAACAGG
rnacentral:rRNA from 1 species